rnacentral:rRNA from 1 species
UACAGGGGGUGCAAACGUUGCUCGGAAUCAUUGGGCGUAAAGCGCACGUAGGCGGUCUGUUAUGUCGGAUGUGAAAGCCCUCGGCUUAACUGAGGAAGUGCAUCCGAAACUGGCAGGCUAGAGUACUAAAGAGGGUCGCGGAAUUCCCGGUGUAGAGGUGAAAUUCGUAGAUAUCGGGAGGAACACCGGUGGCGAAGGCGGCAUCCUGGACCGGCAUUGACGCUGAGGAGCGAAAGCCAGGGGAGCAAACGGG